ensembl:lncRNA
ACCUUGUAGGAUCUGUCCGGAGUGCUGAAAAGGUUUCCGCUGGAGAAGGCUGGAGUCUGGGAGACCAAGUAAUCUGACGAGCUCACCAAGCAGGAUUUUCAAGUCCCAACCAAAGAUCCUUUUAAACAGAAACUGACGUCCAUAAAGGACAAAAACAGUCACAACUAAUUUUUAAAUGGAUAUAAGAGAGAAAUUGAAGGAGAUGCCCUGUGCUCCAUGAGAGGAAGGAGGUACACAAAGCACACCUAACAAGAGGUGGCAUGCCCGAACACUCGGAACUCUAAAGAAUGUCUAGAACGUUGCAUAGCCAAGAAGAUUCUGCAGAAAGCCUAAGCUGAGCUCCCCACGGGGGUAGGGUGGGGGGCUGCAUAGAACCCACGACAAUGAUUUCUUGGCUGCCUCAAAAGGCCAGUAGAUGAGCUCUAGCUCAGUCUCACGGGACUCAGAACAAUGAAACACGUAGGGAAUCAAAACGGUGGCAGGAAGCCACUGCCUUCCGACUGGCCUCUGUCAGUAACUCGGCGGAGAGUAAACUGUGGGAGAGUCUAUCUGCCUGCUCACUCGAGAGCUUUCGAUUCAGCUUAGGCAGCACGGAGAUGGUGCCUGAGUGAGCACAAGCACUUGUUACCCGCCCCUCAAUUUCCCUUCCCCACAGCACCUGCUCCGGAGGGAGACCUAGCACCAGCACCUGAGCCCUCCAGGUGGACUGCCCUCUUCCCUCUGUGAGGUCCCGGUGCAGGCGAGGCUCUGGUCACCUGGCUAGCUCGUUGGCCUGCCCGGGUUCUCUCCCAAGUGGCUGUAGCCUGGGCAAUGCCGCUUGAAGGUAACUAGCGGGCUUUGUGUCCGAAGGGCAAGCUACAUCCAGGGGAGAGCAAAGAGCCGGAGGGCCGGACCGGGAGCGGAGAGAGUGCUUUCAGCACCACCCGCUGUCCUCCGUGCUCCCGCAGCCGGAGCCGCGGUCACCACCGCCAAGCGAUCCACCGGGAAGCGGUUCUCCCCUCUCUUCCCCUCUGCCUUCGCAUCUCUGAAUUCUGAGCCCUCGGGUGGGUCGGUGGAGCCCAGUCCGAAUUCUAAACGCCCGCCCCUGGCCUUAGGGCGCGGGACCUCGCCCCCGAAGGCAUGCAGAAUUCCUCGCCAGCUCCGGCCAUUCCCUCCUUUCCCCGAUUGCUCUCGCCCUGUCUCGCCAACAGGUUUAACCGAAGCCACCCGCGAAUGGAGCCGGCUUCAACCUCGAGUUCAUUUUCUAUGGAAACAAGCCCACUUAAAUUCCUCACUUAUGCAAAUACGAGCAAAGCGAUCUUCAUAAAGCUUUCAUUGGAGAGACGCCGCGGUAGCCUGGGCUCCGGACUCGAGAUUCCUGUCUGAUUCACCCAGCACACGUCCUUGGCGGGUGACUUUUCCAAACUUGCAGGACCUCGCAGCGUCCCUGGC